CCCCCCCCCCCCCCCCCCCCCCCCCCCCCCCCCCCCCCCCCCCCCCCCCCCCCCCCCCCCCCCCCCCCCCCCCCCCCCCCCCCGUGUGCUCCUUGGCUCAGGAGAUGUGCAGGGGGUUCCAGCCUGUGUGCUCCUUGGCUCAGGAGAUGUGCAGGGGGUUCCAGCCUGUGUGCUCCUUGGCUCAGGAGAUGUGCAGCAGUGCA
rnacentral:lncRNA from 1 species